rnacentral:rRNA from 1 species
AUGCGGCCACCGAGAGGCGGCGGAGGUUUCCGCGGACGCGGCGGCGACCGAGGUGGCCGCCUCGCUGGAGGCGGCCGCUUCGCUGGAGGCGGCCGCGGCGGCGGCGGCAGGGGCCGCUUCGGUGGAGGCGGCGGCGGGUUCCGCGACGAGGGCCCUCCUGCCGAGGUCGUCGAGGUGUCGACGUUCGUGCACGCCUGCGAGGGGGACGCGGUAACGAAGCUGACGAACGAGAAGGUGCCCUACUUCAACGCGCCCAUAUACCUCCAGAACAAGACCCAGAUCGGCAAAGUCGACGAGAUCUUCGGCCCCAUCAACGAAUCAUAUUUCUCGGUCAAGAUGUUCGAGGGAGUCAUUGCAACAUCUUACAAUGAAGGUGACAAGUUCUUCAUUGACCCCAUGAAGCUGCUGCCCCUCUCACGCUUCCUGCCACAGCCAAAGGGCUCGACUCCAAGAGGUGGUGGUCGCGGUGGAAGAGGUGGUGGUCGUGGUGGAUUUGGUGGCCGUGGUGGAUUCCGUGGAAGAGGUGCACCAAGGGGUCGCGGACCUCCCAGGGGUGGAGGGCGUGGUUUCAGAGGACGAGGCAGAUUCUAG